UACUAACUUCCUGUUUCUUAGUCAUAGGAGAACAUUUUCAGCUUGGCAGGGAGGAAGAUGCCCAUGACUUCUUAUGCUGUACUGUCAAUGCCAUGCAGAGAGCUUGUCUGGGUGCAAGCAACGACUUGGACAUAUCAUCUCAAUCUACUACCAUUGUCCAUCAAAUAUUUGGAGGCUUUCUGAGAUCCAGAGUCAUCUGCUUCAGCUGCAAAGCCAUUUCUGAUUCCUAUGAGGCU